AUAGUGGCGGACGGGUGAGUAACGCGUGGGAACCUGCCCCGAGGUACGGAAUAACUCAUGGAAACGUGAGCUAAUACCGUAUGUGACCUGAGGGUGAAAGAUUUAUCGCCUUGGGAGGGGCCCGCGUCGGAUUAGGUAGUUGGUGGGGUAAUGGCCUACCAAGCCUGCGAUCCGUAGCUGGUCUGAGAGGAUGAUCAGCCACACUGGAACUUAGACACGGUCCAGACUCC
rnacentral:rRNA from 1 species